AUGCAGUCGAGCGACUGAUUAGAAGCUUGCUUCUAUGACGUUAGCGGCGGACGGGUGAGUAACACGUGGGGCAACCUGCCUGUAAGACUGGGAUAACUCCGGGAAACCGGAGCUAAUACCGGAUAACAUUUUUUCUUGCAUAAGAGAAAAUUGAAAGAUGGUUUCGGCUAUCACUUACAGAUGGGCCCGCGGUGCAUUAGCUAGUUGGUGAGGUAACGGCUCACCAAGGCAACCGAUGCAUAGCCGACCUGAGAGGGUGAUCGGCCACACUGGGACUGAGACACGGCCCAGACUCCUACGGGAGGCAGCAGGGGAA
rnacentral:rRNA from 1 species